CCCUGCCAUUUGUACACACCGCCCGUCGCUACUACCGAUUGAAUGGCUUAGUGAGGCCUCCGGAUUGGCGUCGGGGAGCCGGAAACGGCACCCCUUUGCUGAGAAGCUGGUCAAACUUGGUCAUUUAGAGGAAGUAAAAGUCGUAACAAGGUU
rnacentral:rRNA from 1 species